UUCCGUAGGGUGAACCUGCGCAAGGAUCAUUAAUGAAUUCACUAUGGAGUUGUUGCUGGCCUCUAGGGGCAUGUGCACGCUUCACUAGUCUUUCAACCACCUGUGAACUUUUGAUAGAUCUGUGAAGUCGUCUCUCAAGUCGUUAGACUUGGUUUGCUGGGAUGUAAACGUCUCGGUGUGACUACGCAGUCUAUUUACUUAUAACACCCCAAAUGUAUGUCUACGAAUGUCAUUUAAAGGGCCUUGUGCCUAUAAACCAUAAUACAACUUUCAACAACGGAUCUCUUGGCUCUCGCAUCGAUGAAGAACGCAGCGAAAUGCGAUAAGUAAUGUGAAUUGCAGAAUUCAGUGAAUCAUCGAAUCUUUGAACGCACCUUGCGCCCCUUGGUAUUCCGAGGGGCAUGCCUGUUUGAGUGUCAUUAAAUUCUCAAACUCACUCUGGUUUUUCCAAUUGUGAUGUUUGGAUUGUUGGGGGCUGCUGGCCUUGACAGGUCGGCUCCUCUUAAAUGCAUUAGCAGGACUUCUCAUUGCCUCUGCGCAUGAUGUGAUAAUUAUCACUCAUCAAUAGCACGCAUGAAUAGAGUUUGGCUCUCUAACCGUCCGCAAGGACAAUUUGACAAUUUGACCUCAAAUCAGGUAGGACUACCCGCUGAACUUAAGCAUAUCAAUAAGCCGGAGGAA
rnacentral:rRNA from 1 species